UACAGAGGUCUCAAGCGUUGUUCGGGAUUCAUUGGGCGUAAAGGGUGUGUAGGUGGCGCCCGUAAGUCGGGUGUGAAAUUUCGGAGCUUAACUCCGAAACUGCAUUCGAUACUGCGGUGCUUGAGGACUGGAGAGGAGACUGGAAUUCAUGGUGUAGCAGUGAAAUGCGUAGAGAUCAUGAGGAAGACCAGUGGCGAAGGCGGGUCUCUGGACAGUUCCUGACACUGAGACACGAAGGCCAGGGGAGCAAACGGG
rnacentral:rRNA from 1 species